rnacentral:rRNA from 1 species
UCAAGCUACAAAGGGCGCAUGGUGAAUGCCUUGGCAUCAGGAGCCGAUGAAGGACGUGAUAAGCUGCGAUAAGCUUCGGGUAGGCGCACAUAGCCUGAGAUCCGAAGAUCUCCGAAUGAGGAAACUCACAUGGGAAACCCCAUGUAUCAUUAAGUGAAUACAUAGCUUAAUGAAGGUAACCCAGGGAACUGAAACAUCUAAGUACCUGGAGGAAGAGAAAGAAAAAUCGAUUUUCUUAGUAGCGGCGAGCGAAAGGGAAAGAGCCCAAACCGGAAACUUGUUUCCGGGGUUGUGGACAUAACAUAAAAGUGGAGGCUAUUGUAACUGAAGAGAACUGGAAAGUUCCACCGUAGAAGGUAAUAGUCCUGUAAGUGAAACGAGAAGACCACGAGUUAUGAUCCAGAGUACCACGAGACACGUGAAACCUUGUGGGAAGCAGGGAGGACCACCUCCCAAGGCUAAAUACUACCUGAUGACCGAUAGUGAAGCAGUACCGUGAGGGAAAGGUGAAAAGAACCCCGGGAGGGGAGUGAAAUAGAACCUGAAACCGUGUGCCUACAACCGCUCAGAGCCCCUUAUGAGGGUGAUGAGGUGCUUUUUGUAGAACGAGCCAACGAGUUACGGUAUGUAGCAAGGUUAAGUACUUAAGGUACGGAGCCGAAGGGAAACCGAGUCUGAAUAGGGCGACUAGUUGCAUGCCGUAGACCCGAAACCGGGUGACCUAUCCAUGGCCAGGUUGAAGCGAGGGUAAAACCUCGUGGAGGACCGAACCACGUUGCUGUUGAAAAAGCAUGGGAUGAGCUGUGGAUAGCGGAGAAAUUCCAAUCGAACCCGGAGAUAGCUGGUUCUCUCCGAAAUAGCUUUAGGGCUAGCGUCGAGUAUGAGUAGUGGAGGUAGAGCACUGAAUGGGCUAGGGGGCAUAGCGCUUACCGAACCUUAUCAAACUCCGAAUGCCACAUACUUUGAGCUCGGCAGUCAGACUACGAAUGAUAAGAUCCGUGGUCAAAAGGGAAACAGCCCAGAUCGUCAGCUAAGGUCCCAAAGUGUAAGUUAAGUGGGAAAGGAUGUGAGAUUUCUAAGACAACUAGGAUGUUGGCUUAGAAGCAGCCAUUCAUUAAAAGAGUGCGUAAUAGCUCACUAGUCGAGAGAUCUUGCGCCGAAAAUGUAACGGGGCUAAACUUACCACCGAAGCUACGGGCUUGAACUUAGUUCAAGCGGUAGGAGAGCGUCGUAACCGGGCUGAAGUCGUACCGUAAGGAGCGGUGGACUGGUUACGAGUGAGAAUGUUGGCAUCAGUAGCGAGAUGUGGGUGAGAAUCCCACAGGCCGAAAACCUAAGGUUUCCUCAGGAAGGUUCGUCCGCUGAGGGUUAGUCGGGACCUAAGCCGAGGCCGAAAGGCGUAGGUGAUGGACAACUGGUUGAUAUUCCAGUACCACUACCAUCGUUAUUAUCGAUGGCGUGACGCAGGAGGAUAGUGUGUGCUAGCUAUUGGAUGCUAGUCUAAGCGUUUAGGCAGUGAGAGUAGGCAAAUCCGCUCUCAUAAUGCUGAGGCGUGAUGGGGAAGGUUCUACGGAACCGAAGUACAUGAUUCCACGCUGCCAAGAAAAGCGUCUAGAGAGAGAAGUAGUGCCCGUACCGCAAACCGACACAGGUAGGUGAGGAGAGAAUCCUAAGGCCGGCGGAAGAAUUACAGUUAAGGAACUCGGCAAAUUGACCCCGUAAGUUCGCGAGAAGGGGUGCCUACGAGAGUAGGCCGCAGAGAAUAGGCCCAAGCAACUGUUUAGCAAAAACACAGGUCUCUGCUAAAGCGUAAGCUGAUGUAUAGGGGCUGACGCCUGCCCGGUGCUGGAAGGUUAAGGGGAACACUUAGCGCAAGCGAAGGUGUGAACUUAAGCCCCAGUAAACGGCGGCCGUAACUAUAACGGUCCUAAGGUAGCGAAAUUCCUUGUCAGGUAAGUUCUGACCCGCACGAAUGGCGUAAUGACUUGGGCACUGUCUCAACUGUAAAUCCGGCGAAGUUGUAGUGCGAGUGAAGAUGCUCGCUACCCGCGAUUGGACGGAAAGACCCCGUAGAGCUUUACUGUAGCUUAGCAUUGAGUUUUGGUAUUGUCUGUACAGGAUAGGUGGGAGACUAGGAAACCAGGGCGUCAGCCUUGGUGGAGUCAACCUUGGGAUACCACCCUGACAGUACUGAAAUUCUAACUGGCGGCCAUGAAUCUGGUCACAGGACAUUGUUAGGUGGGCAGUUUGACUGGGGCGGUCGCCUCCUAAAAAGUAACGGAGGCGCCCAAAGGUUCCCUCAGAACGGUCGGAAAUCGUUCGAAGAGUGCAAAGGCAGAAGGGAGCCUGACUGCGACACCCACAAGUGGAGCAGGGACGAAAGUCGGGCUUAGUGAUCCGGUGGUACCUCGUGGGAGGGCCAUCGCUCAACGGAUAAAAGCUACCUCGGGGAUAACAGGCUGAUCUCCCCCAAGAGUCCACAUCGACGGGGAGGUUUGGCACCUCGAUGUCGGCUCGUCGCAUCCUGGGGCUGAAGUAGGUCCCAAGGGUUGGGCUGUUCGCCCAUUAAAGCGGCACGCGAGCUGGGUUCAGAACGUCGUGAGACAGUUCGGUCCCUAUCCGUCGCGGGCGU